rnacentral:lncRNA from 1 species
CCCGGAUCUAACAUGAGGGGAACAUUAGCAGCUGGGUUUCCUGUAUCGCCAGCGUGGAAGGGAAGCGCCUCGCCUAGUCUCCUUUCCCAGACUAAGAAGAGUCUUCUUCCGAGGGCCACAGAGCAAGGGCCAGGGGUACAACGGGAGCGUCAGGGACAGGGGAACGGGGAGGGCCAUGGAACAACAGGAAAGGACUUCUGUUUAUUGUGAACAGGUGAGGGCCGGUGCCAGCACCAUCGAGAAGCUACUGGUAAGGGGAAAUGGAACCCUGAGGACCUUUAGGAGCCCGGGCCUAGAGAGCACCUUUCGCCAUUGCGCCGCCUGCUUCUGUUGCUCCCUCUGCCUCCUCCUUCGGUAGUCUACGGAUCCUCGGCCAAAAUGGGGUCCAAGGAAAGGGGACUCCAUAAUUAUUUAACUGGUUGCAGGAGCUGGGGGCAAAACCCUUCCUCCGGGGAUGAGCUUUUCCUUCUCCGUGAAGUGAGGACGUUGGACCAGCUCCUUCCAGUAAGGGACCCUUAGAAGGAAAGAGCAUCAGAGAGGUGGCGCCUUUGGUGCCCAGGGGGAAAGGCGAGCCUGGAUUCGUGUGGGCAUAAUUGUGUGUGAAGGUGAGUCUGGUCUCCUCUCCCUGUCUCUCAAUAAAAACACCCCAUCUCAGCCCUGCACGAGGUCGGGAUGGGAAGAAGGGAGGGAAAUACCGUUUUUGCCUUUUCCCAGAAAGUACUGGAGCGAGAGCAGAGUUGUAGCCACGCCCUCAUUCUCCUCAAAAGGAUCUGCCUCUGCCAGAAUACAAAUUCGAAAGGGCAGAAGGGGAAACGGAGAGGAAAGCGGAUCCCUCCCAUAUAAACUGUCUUGUCAGGUCUGGGAGGAUCCUUGGAGUCCCAACCCCCUUAGUUUAAAGGGAAGGAAACUGAGGCUUGGAGAGGGGAAGGGGCUUGCUCGGGGUCACACAAUGACCGUGGCGGGGCUCCCAUUAGAACCCAGGUCCCCUGAUUUCCAGGCCAUGGCACUUUCCACUUCCUUUGCUGGAUGAGAGUGCAUUUGUGUGCGAGAUUACAAGGGGCUCUAGGUGUGGAGGGUGAAGAGGGAGAAAGCUGGAGCUCCCCAGCAGGGUCUCUGCCCUCUGCUCAGCUGCUGUGACUGACAAAAAG